rnacentral:rRNA from 1 species
AGCGUUGUUCGGAUUUACUGGGCGUAAAGCGCACGUAGGCGGAUUCUUAAGUCAGGGGUGAAAUCCCGAGGCUCAACCUCGGAACUGCCUUUGAUACUGGCGAUCUUGAGUCCGGGAGAGGUGAGUGGAACUGCGAGUGUAG